GGCCCGGUGGCUCAGCUGGUUAGAGCGCCGCCCUGUCACGGCGGAGGUCGUGGGUUCGAUCCCCAUCCGGGUCG
rnacentral:tRNA from 11 species